rnacentral:rRNA from 1 species
AGAGUUUGAUCAUGGCUCAGAAUGAACGUUGGCGGCGUGGAUUAGGCAUGCAAGUCGAACGAAUCCCAUUUGGGUAACUGGAUGGGGGAAGUGGCGAAAGGGGCAGUAAGGCAUAGGUAACCUACCCUGGAGUUGGGCAUAGCCAUUCUAACGAAUGGGUAAUUCCCGAUGGCCCAGCGAGGAGACAUCUCUUUGCUGGUAAAGAGUUUCGCUCCGGGAGGGGCCUAUGUGCUAUUAGCUAGUUGGCGGGGUAACGGCCCACCAAGGCUAAGAUGGCUAGCGGGUGUGAGAGCACGACCCGCGCCACUGGCACUGAGACACUGGCCAGACACCUACGGGUGGCUGCAGUCGAGGAUCUUCGUCAAUGGGCGAAAGCCUGAACGAGCGACGCCGCGUGCGCGAUGAAGGCCUUCGGGUUGUAAAGCGCGAAAGUGGGGACGAAAGCCGAAAGGUUUGACCGAUCCACAGUAAGCUCGGGCUAAGUUCGUGCCAGCAGCCGCGGUAAGACGAACCGAGCGAACGUUAUUCGGAAUCACUGGGCUUAAAGGGCGCGUAGGCGGGCAUCCAAGUCUAUGGUGAAAUCCGGCAGCUUAACUGUCGAACUGCCGUGGAUACUGGGUGUCUCGAGGGAGGUAGGGGCGUGCGGAACUAUUGGUGGAGCGGUGAAAUGCGUUGAUAUCAAUAGGAACUCCGGUGGCGAAGGCGGCACGCUGGACCUCUUCUGACGCUGAGGCGCGAAAGCCAGGGGAGCAAACGGGAUUAGAUACCCUAGUAGUCC